GGAAUUGUUCGCAAUGGGCGAAAGCCUGACGACGCAACGCCGCGUGAAGGAUGAAGGUCUUCGGAUUGUAAACUUCUGUUGCCUGGAAAGAAUGGCCUCGCCCCAAUACGUCGAGGCUUGACGGUACCAGGUGACGAAGCCCCGGCUACCCCUGUGCCAGCAGCCGCGGUAAUACAGCGGGGGCAAGCGUUGGUCGGAAUUACUGGGCGUAAAGGGCGCGGAGGCGGCCUGUUAAGUCGAACGUGAAAUCCCCAGGCUCAACCUGGGAACUGCGCUCGAGACUGGCAGGCUCGAAUCCGGGAGAGGGAUGUGGAAUUCCAGGUGUAGCGGUGAAAUGCGUAGAUAUCUGGAGGAACACCGGUGGCGAAGGCGACAUCCUGGACCGGUAUUGACGCUGAGGCGCGAAAGCCAGGGUAGCAAAC
rnacentral:rRNA from 1 species